rnacentral:rRNA from 1 species
UACGGGGGGGGCAAGCGUUGUUCGGAAUUACUGGGCGUAAAGGGUGCGUAGGUGGUUGCGUAAGUAACGUGUGAAAUCCCUCGGCUUACCCGGGGAAUUGCGCGUUAUACUGCGUGACUUGAGGAUUUCAGGGGAAUGGGGAACUCCAGGUGUAGCGGUGAAAUGCGCAGAUAUCUGGGGGAAGGCCGGCGGCGAAGGCGCCAUUCUGGGAAAUUCCUGACACUGAGGCACGAAAGCGUGGGGAGCAAACAGG